UGGGGAAUAUUGGACAAUGGGGGCAACCCUGAUCCAGCCAUGCCGCGUGUGUGAAGAAGGCCUUUUGGUUGUAAAGCACUUUAAGCAGGGAGGAGAGGCUAAUGGUUAAUACCCAUUAGAUUAGACGUUACCUGCAGAAUAAGCACCGGCUAACUCUGUGCCAGCAGCCGCGGUAAUACAGAGGGUGCGAGCGUUAAUCGGAAUUACUGGGCGUAAAGCGAGUGUAGGUGGCUCAUUAAGUCACAUGUGAAAUCCCCGGGCUUAACCUGGGAACUGCAUGUGAUACUGGUGGUGCUAGAAUAUGUGAGAGGGAAGUAGAAUUCCCAGGUGUAGCGGUGAAAUGCGUAGAGAUCUGGAGGAAUACCGAUGGCGAAGGCAGCUUCCUGGCAUAAUAUUGACACUGAGAUUCGAAAGCGUGGGUAGCAAAACAGGAUUAGAUACCCUGGUAGUCCACGCCGUAAACGAUGUCUACUAGCCGUUGGGGUCCUUGAGACUUUAGUGGCGCAGUUAACGCGAUAAGUAGACCGCCUGGGGGAG
rnacentral:rRNA from 1 species